rnacentral:sRNA from 1 species
AAGUUGUCUGUCCUGCUCCUGGAGAAGAUGGGAGGCUCAUCUGGGGCGGUGGGUGCCUGGGGGCUGAAGGGCUGACAGGGAGGUGGCUGGGCUGGCUGGGGUCCAGGCCAGCACCACAUGCUCAGUGUUCUUAUCUUCCCCAGCUCUACGGCCUGUUCCUGACUGCGGCUGCACAGCCCCUCAAGGCGAAGACCAGCCUCCCAGCCUGGUCUGCUGCCAUGGAUGCCGGCCUGGAAGCCAUGCAGAAGUAUGGAAAGGCUGCCCCAGGGGACAGGACUAUGGUGUGUACUCAGGCUGUGGCCCCAGACCUUUCUCCUUUUGGCCCUGUAAGUCUAAAGAGCACCCUCGGUUGCAGGACCUGUGCUCAGCCCCCUUUCCUUCACCUUGUCCAGCUGGAUUCUCUGUGGGCAGCAGGGCAGGAGCUCCAAGCCUGGAAGAGCCCAGGAGCCGAUCUGUUGCAAGUCCUGACCAAAGCAGUCAAGGUGAGUGAGGCUGG